UACGUAGGGUGCAAGCGUUAAUCGGAAUUACUGGGCGUAAAGCGUGCGCAGGCGGUUGUGUAAGACAGAUGUGAAAUCCCCGGGCUCAACCUGGGAACUGCAUUUGUGACUGCACGGCUGGAGUGCGGCAGAGGGGGAUGGAAUUCCGCGUGUAGCAGUGAAAUGCGUAGAUAUGCGGAGGAACACCGAUGGCGAAGGCAAUCCCCUGGGCCGUAACUGACGCUGAGGUGCGAAAGCGUGGGGAGCAAACAGG
rnacentral:rRNA from 1 species